rnacentral:rRNA from 1 species
UGGGGGAUAUUGCACAAUGGGCGAAAGCCUGAUGCAGCGACGCCGCGUGGGGGAUGAAGGCUUUCGGGUUGUAAACCUCUUUCGCUAUCGAACAAGGCCCGCUUAGGGUGGGUUGAGGGUAGGUGGAGAAGAAGCGCCGGCUAACUACGUGCCAGCAGCCGCGGUAAUACGUAGGGCGCGAGCGUUGUCCGGAAUUAUUGGGCGUAAAGGGCUUGUAGGCGGCUUGUUGCGCCUGCUGUGAAAACGCGGGGCUUAACUUCGCGCGUGCAGUGGGUACGGGCAGGCUUGAGUGUGGUAUGAGUGACUGGAAUUCCAGGUGUAGCGGUGGAAUGCGCAGAUAUCUGGAGGAGCACCGAUGGCGAAGGCAGGUCACUGGGCCAUUACUGACGCUGAGGAGCGAAAGCAUGGGUAGCGAACAGG